rnacentral:rRNA from 1 species
UACGGAAGGCAGCAGUGGGGAAUAUUGCACAAUGGGCGCAAGCCUGAUGCAGCCAUGCCGCGUGUAUGAAGAAGGCCUUCGGGUUGUAAAGUACUUUCAGCGGGGAGGAAGGCGAUGCGGUUAAUAACCGCGUCGAUUGACGUUACCCGCAGAAGAAGCACCGGCUAACUCCGUGCCAGCAGCCGCGGUAAUACGGAGGGUGCAAGCGUUAAUCGGAAUUACUGGGCGUAAAGCGCACGCAGGCGGUCUGUUAAGUCAGAUGUGAAAUCCCCGGGCUUAACCUGGGAACUGCAUUUUGAAACUGGCAGGCUUGAGUCUUGUAGAGGGGGUAGAAGUUCCAGGUGUAGCGGUGAAAUGCGUAGAGAUCUGGAGGAAUACCGGUGGCGAAGGCGGCCCCUGGGACAAAGCUGACGCUCAGGUGCGAAAGCGUGGGGAGCAAACAGGGAUUAGAUACC